UUUUUGCGUUAGGGAUUGAAACGGCAUCCUUUUUUUGCCUCUAGCCAUUAAGCAAAUAGCAAAAAAAGAUAUAGUGAAAAGCCCGCCCGAAC
rnacentral:sRNA from 1 species